rnacentral:rRNA from 1 species
CCUACGGGUGGCAGCAGUGAGGAAUAUUGGUCAAUGGCCGAGAGGCUGAACCAGCCAAGUCGCGUGAGGGAAGACGGCCCUACGGGUUGUAAACCUCUUUUGUCGGGGAGCAAAGCGAGUCACGUGUGACUCAUUGAGAGUACCCGAAGAAAAAGCAUCGGCUAACUCCGUGCCAGCAGCCGCGGUAAUACGGAGGAUGCGAGCGUUAUCCGGAUUUAUUGGGUUUAAAGGGUGCGUAGGUUGUUUUUUAAGUCAGCGGUGAAAGUUUGUGGCUCAACCAUAAAAUUGCCGUUGAAACUGGAAGACUUGAGUGUGUUUGAGGUAGGCGGAAUGCGUGGUGUAGCGGUGAAAUGCAUAGAUAUCACGCAGAACUCCGAUUGCGAAGGCAGCUUACUAAGCCAUAACUGACACUGAAGCACGAAAGCGUGGGGAUCAAACAGGAUUAGAUACCCCUGUAGUC